UACGUAGGGGGCAAGCGUUGUCCGGAUUUACUGGGCGUAAAGAGCGCGUAGGCGGAGAUCUAAGCGUGGCCUGAAAGCCCCCGGCUCAACCGGGGAGUGCGGACUGCGAACUGGGUUUCUUGAGGACGAUAGAGGAGAGUGGAAUUCCUGGUGUAGCGGUGAAAUGCGUAGAUAUCAGGAGGAACCCCAGAGGCGAAGGCGGCAUUCUGGCUCGCAACUGACGCUCAGACACGACAGCAUGGGGAGCGAACGGG
rnacentral:rRNA from 1 species